rnacentral:lncRNA from 10 species
AUUUGGCGGGGUCUUUGUCUCUCGCUCCCGCCAGAGCUUGGGAUCGGUCUUCACUGUUCCGCGUCCUCUACCUGGGAACCACCGACCCCCGCCCGGCGACUUUGUCACAGACUCUGUUGCCCUGUGAUCUGCAGGUCCUGGGAGACGCACAGCCAAGAUGCCAGGGCACCCUGGAAGCUGUGAAGUGUUCAGAUGCAUAAUCUCAUCCCUGAACAUCCUGCUGGUGCGAUUAUGACAUAUGAUUUUACCCAGCACCAGAGGGAUUUGAUGCUCCUGCCUGGGCCCAACUCACAGAAGGGAUUGUGACAUAUCACUGGACCCAGCACUGAGGGGACAUUGUGUAAUAUCGUUGGGCCUCACACGUACGUUAUGUGACUCUCCUGCGUGUGCCCUGUCCAUGUGGGCCAUUGUGACAUAUUGCUGGGUCCAACAACUGGUUGAUGUAGCUCUACUGCCUAGGUCCUGCCUAUGGAGGACUUUGUGAUGUAUCCCUGAACCCAUCACACAGAUUCUGCCCUCAGAGGACAUUGUGACAUGUCACUGGGCCUAAUACUAAGAUGACAUCAUUCUUUAGUUUUGGC